GUGAGCGCGGGCGGCGCGCCUCGGUUUGGCUGGGGAGCCCCGGGGCUGUGCUUUACAGGCGCCGCCCUGCCCUUCGGGCCCGGCAGCCGGCUGACCGUGGUGGACGACCUGAGCAAGGUGACCCCACCCAAGGUGGCUGUGUUCGAGCCGUCGGCAGCAGAGAUCUCGCGGACCCAGAAGGCCACGCUCGUGUGCCUGGCCACGGGCUUCUACCCCGACCACGUGGAGCUGAGCUGGUGGGUGAACGGGAAGCAGGUCGAGACAGGGGUCAGCACGGACCCUCAGCCCCACAAGGAGGACCCCAGCCGCAAUGACUCCAGCUACUGUCUGAGCAGCCGGCUGAGGGUCUCCGCCACCUUCUGGUACAACCCUCGCAACCUCUUCCGCUGCCAAGCCUGGUUCCACGGGGUCUCGGACGAGGACGAGUGGAAGCAGGACAGGCCCAAACCCGUCACCCAGAACAUCAGUGCCGAGGUCCGGGGCCGAGCAGACUGUGGCCUCACCUCGGCGUCCUACCAGCAAGGGGUCCUGUCUGCCACCAUCCUCUAUGAGAUCCUGCUGGGGAAGGCCACCCUCUAUGCUGUGCUGGUCAGCGCCCUGGUGCUGAUGGCCAUGGUCAAGAGAAAGGAUUCCUGAAGCCAGCUUAGAGGUGGAGCCAGCUUAGAGGUGAAGCCAGCUUAGAGGUGGAGCCAGGAGCUUCCAGCAUGUUAUGGCCCUGAUGUGAAUUCUGCUUUUUCCAUUCCUACCCAGUGCUUCAGAAGAGCUGCUCUCAACUUUCUUCGCAUCCCAUUAUCUACCCCUGUGUGCAUGCACCCCAAACACUCAUGACCAAAAUCUCCCUAGCCCAAGGGGGACCCUUUGAUUACUCUGAGGUUUUUUUCCCACCCCACUCAAUCAGACCAAGCGGGCCUGAACGGAUUCAACCAAUAAAAAUGGCCUGAUCUGGCUUGAGUCUGC